rnacentral:rRNA from 1 species
UGGGGAAUAUUGGACAAUGGGCGCAAGCCUGAUCCAGCAAUGCCGCGUGUGUGAAGAAGGCCUGCGGGUUGUAAAGCACUUUAAGCAGGAAAGAAAGGCGGGAGGUUAAUACCCUUUUGCUGUGACGUUACCUGCAGAAUAAGCACCGGCUAACUCCGUGCCAGCAGCCGCGGUAAUACGGAGGGUGCGAGCGUUAAUCGGAAUUACUGGGCGUAAAGCGCGCGUAGGCGGUUUGCUAAGUCCGCUGUGAAAGCCCUGGGCUUAACCUGGGAACUGCAGUGGAUACUGGUGAGCUAGAGUAUGGUAGAGGGUAGUGGAAUUUCCGGUGUAGCAGUGAAAUGCGUAGAGAUCGGAAGGAACACCAGUGGCGAAGGCGGCUAUCUGGACCAAUACUGACGCUGAGGUGCGAAAGCGUGGGGAGCAAACA